GCUGGGCACAGUGGUGCGUGCCUGUAGUCCCAGCUACUCCGGAGGCUGAGGUGGGAGGAUCGCUUGAACCCAGGAGUUCUGGGCUAUAGUGCACUGUGCCAAUCGGGUGUCCACACUAAGUUCUGCAUCAAUACGGUGACCUCCCGGGAGCGGGGGACCACCAGGUUGCCUAAGGAGGGGUGAACCGAUCCAGGUCGGUAAGGGAGCAGGUCAAAACUCCCGUGUAAUCAGUAGUGGGAUGGCACCUGUGAAUAGCCACUGUACUCCAGCCAGGGCAACAUAGCGAGACCCCAUCUAA
rnacentral:SRP_RNA from 1 species